GCUGGGCGCAGUGGCACAUGCCUGUAGUCCCAGCUACUCAGGAGGAUGAGGUGGGAGAAUCUCUUGAGCCCAGAACUUCUGGGCUGUAGUGCACUAUGCCAAUAAGGUGUCCCCACUAAGUUUGGCAUCAAUACAGUGACCUCCCGGGAGCGGGGAACAUCAGGUUGCCUAAGGAGGGGUGAACCAGCCCAGGUUGGAAACAGGGCAGGUCAAAACUCCUGUGCUGAUCAGUAGUGGGAUCACGCCUGUGAAUACUGCACUCCAGCCUGUGCAACAUAACGAGACCACGUCUCUU
rnacentral:SRP_RNA from 1 species